rnacentral:rRNA from 1 species
GAUGAACGCUGACAGAAUGCUUAACACAUGCAAGUCUUUGGCGAAGCUGUGCUUGCACAGCCUAGCCAAGGCGGACGGGUGAGUAACGCGUAAGGAACUUGCCCUGCAGUCAGGGAUAACAGACGGAAACGACUGAUAAGACCUGGUAAAGUCAGGCGGACUCAUGUCCAGCCUGAUGAAAAGAGAUGCUGCAGGAGAGCCUUGCGUCCUAUUAGCUUGUUGGUGGGGUAACGGCCCACCAAGGCGAUGAUAGGUAGCCGGCCUGAGAGGGGGGACGGCCACAAGGGGACUGAGAGACGGCCCUUACUCCUCCGGGAGGAAGCAGGGGGGAAUAUUGGAGAAUGGGGGCAACCCUGAUCCAGCAAUUCUGUGUGCACGAUGAAGGUUUUCGGAUUGUAAAGUGCUUUCAGCAGGGAAGAAAAAAAUGACGGUACCUGCAGAAGAAGCGACGGCUAAAUACGUG